CGGGCGCGGGGCGGCCGACUCCCCCGCCCCAGGGUGUUCCCGCCGCUGUUGCCUUGUAUGGUCCGAGGCGCCGCAGUACCCGGGCCCCGCCCGACGCGGCCCCGACCCACAGUCGGGCCUAGCGGGCCCGACCCUACCCCGGCCCCUCCUUGGGGCGCGAGCCUCUAGCUUCCCAAGGACCCCAAAAAAGGGCCGAGAUCCCGCAAUGCCGGACUUCUAGAGUCCCGACGGGCCAAGGACUCUGCAGUUCCGAGGUUCUGGGGGCCCGGAAAGCCAGAAUGCUGCGUUUUGCUGCCCUGUGAACGACCCGGCCGGGUGACGUCACUUCCUGCCAGGUAAGCGCCGCGGGCGGCUCGGUCUGCGCGGGGGCUUUGGAGAGCGAUCGGUCUCCCGCACCUUAUCCCGCUCUGAGAGCCCACGUUCACCCUCCCUCCCGCUCUUCAACUGCUUCUAGACCGCGGAAAACCCGGGAUUCCAGUUUACACACAGAUUCCUUUUAUUUAAAAAUUCCAAAAACACAAAAAUAAACUUUCAACAAUAUAUUA